AAUGUGAAUUCAGGUGGUAUAAUUGUAAUAUUUUUUAUUGUAGCCUACUAUUGCCUACCUUACAUUUUCUAACACACAUGGACUUUUUUCCUAGCAUAUCAUAAUGAGAGAGAGAAAAAAAAGCUGGCAGACUCAAAAUGUUCCACACAAAUUCUAAUCCCUAUCUGAGGAAAGAAAUUAAUCAUAUAGACAUUUGUCACACUGUGAAUUUGGCGACAAUAUAAGUAGAAAGUUCUGCUGCUGAAAUCAGUCUGUGCUUACUGAAAUUUGAACCACUGCCCCCAGUGGCCAAAGCUGGAAGUGUUCUUGAGGUGUAAUGUCCACAGAGUGGCACGAAAAGCAAGUUGUAUUUUUAGUUGUAAGUGAUGUACAGUAAACAGUAAUGCAUAUUUUAUAACCUCUGCCUCAUAACCCAAACCCUAGUCCUAAACAUAACUGUUAAAUUGGAGUAAAAAUGUAAUUCUAGAGCGAAAAUGCAACCACUGAAUCGCACUCACCAUUGUUUAUGUGAACGCAAGUACUUCCUUGUUUUCACGGGACUGGAUCCCAUGUCGUCUUGGAGUGAACGUAAUUACUUGGUUUCCAUGGGACCAGAAUCUGUGUCCCAGAGAUUGCUCGCGCAACACAAUGUUAAUUUCCCAUGUGAUCAUGUUUAUGUAAGCAAAAUAUUAGCGUGAUGGACUGAUGAAACUGACAAACUAAGUGGAUGAGUAGCAUGUAAUAGAGUGAAAAAUCAGAUUAACUGUUUGCACCCAGGUGUAAAUAACACCUGCCACACAGCAUGCUGUUUGCACCCCAAUAGUCUAUUAGAAACAUAGAAAUGUAUGACAAACUGCAUUGUGAGUAUCGCUUCAGUGGCAUGGGGCGUAACGCCGGUGAGACUGUUCUUUUUCGACCCAGGUUCGAUUCGCAUUUGUCACACUCUCUACCCCAUUCUCUUUCAUGUCUCCUUUCUUAAUGUUUUCUUUAAUAUUACUUAUAAUAAUACUGUACAGAAAAAUAAAUAUAUAAGGUAGUUUUACUAUAGUAAUAUUGUAGCAACCAUGUUUUUGGCAGAAACCAUAGAUUUGAUGCAAUUAACAAGUGUUACUACAGUAAUAUGGUGUUUAUAUAGUAACCAUGUUUAAUUUUAUGGUAACUAUGAUUUUACUACAAAAUACCAUGGUUAUACUAUGGCUACUGUAGUAAAACCAUGAUUCAUUUUUGUAAGGGAAAGUUAGGGUAUCUGUGGGACUCUAGGUGUGUGUCCGUGGGACACUAAAUAAACACAAUAAACACGCUGCAGUGAUGCCCCUAUACUGUUAGUAUUUCAUUAGGUGCGCAAAUAGAAUCUGCCACUAUUUGCACUGUGGUGUAAAUAGCAUCUACCUUUAUUUGCAUGAGGGUGCAAAUAGCAUCUGCUGUAAAAAUAAAAAUUGGCAUUUAGCAAAAAAUAAUAAUAAUUUGCACCCUUAAUUGAUUUAAUUUGACUUUGAAACUAUGUCCCACUCUCUAAUUUAUAUAUUUAUGACCAAUUAAUAAGUCUUAAGCAUGCGAUGGAAAUAACUACAUGAUUCUUGAAUAUACAAAACUGUAAAUUCAGAGUUCUCGUUGUUCUGACCUAUGUUUUCCUCGAAGAUAAAUCUCCAGCUGGCCAAUCAUAUCUUCCCACAGAGAUGCAUGUGACACCUCUAACCUCUGUAUCACAAACCAGCCACUUCCUGCCCAGUUCCCUACAGCGCCCCAGCUGGACUGGUUUUGAUCAUUCCGAUGGCUAACUCAAGAAAAAACAAACAUCAGUCCAUCCUUUGGCCUCUCUAUGGACAAAAUAACAAAUAUGCGGAUAUGGACUGACGUUUCCAUAACCAUGUGAAGUCAGAACUCUGUGAUCUGAAACAAAAAAGAUAUUGGUUACAGUAGCUAAAAUAAAUCUGACCCAUUAUUGCAUAGAAGGCAGCAAAACUUAUUUAAAGAAUAAAGUAACAAGACAUGCCUUGAACUCAAGCUGUACAAUUAAUGUCUAUAUUGUUUGGUUAUGAAACAAAUCUAGCAGAAGUAUAUUCAAUAUUAUGUUAACUAAAAUCAACCAAGAGCAUGUUGAGAAGGUUCCCAGUGUUCCACUGCUAAUCUCAUUAGGGAACAUGUUGUAUUGUGCUGUAAUAAACACUCUACCCCAAAUCUCCGGAAAGAGUCCAGUCAGCAGAAACAAGCAGCCUAAUACUGAGCCGCCCUCUUCUGAAACUUUCUAAAUACUCUCAUCUAGAGUAUUCAACCUUCUCCUCCUCAAACCUUUUCCAUUAUUGUUGUCUUUUUGAUCCAUCACAGUCUUUUAGUCUCAUUUAAGCCCAUUUUCGGUCUCUGUUCCAAAUUGCACCUUGUUCCCUUGUGGGAAAACUUGGCUUGACACUGUCAUGUAAACCACACCUGCUGAUGAUGAUGUCCUAAAUUGAGCUGGCACUGCUCAUGCACUUAUGUGUCACAGGCUAAAAGGGGCACAUAAUCCCAACAUUACCACCAGUCUAAGCUUUCCGUCUGUUAAACAGUUCAACCGACAACUGUCAACUGCGGUGGAUUGAUUAAAAUAUGAGUAUAUGUAGACAAUAAACAUUAAUCAAGAUUAAUAAAAGCUGUUGUUCAUUGUUAGUUCAUGUUUAUUAUUGCAUUAAAGGAAUGUUCUGGAUUCAAGUUAAGCUCAGUCGACAGCAUUUGAAAGAUAAUGUUGAAUACCACAAAAAUGUAUUAGACUCGUCCAUGGCUUAUUAAAAAAAAAGAAUAAAAUAAAUAAAUAAAUUGCAGUUACAGUAAAAGGCACUUAACAUGGAAGUGAAUGGGGCCAGUGAAUAAUCAUUAAUAUACAUACGGUUUCUGAUUGAUGAUGAUUUUAGUGUUAUAAAAUCAGGGAUUUACAGGCAUUAAAGCUUUUACCAGAUUACACGGUUUACUGACAUUUCGUCAUCAUGACAACAAAGUUGUAAUACUGUAUAUAACGUAACAGAUUAGGUUAGUAAGUGAUUUUAUCACACUAAAAUUAUGUUAAAAUGUUUAAUGUGUAUGUUUUGUGGAUAUACUUUUGAAACAGUGUGUAUUUGAAUGUUUAUGGACUGGCCCCAUUCCCCUUGUCAUGUGUAUUUUGUUGGUUCAUGUUUUUCAUGUCUUUUAUUUUGAAAUUCUAGUUCCUGUUUCAUGUCAUGUGGUUCCCUUGUCAUGUGACUUCAUGUUUCCCUCCAUGUUCUUGUGUCUUGUUUUUCAUUGGUUGAUUGUCUUAUCUUGUUUAGAGUUCUUUCUGUUUAUUGGUUAUCUUUGUCAUGUGUUCUCCCAUGUCAUGUAUUUAACCCUCAUGUUUUCCAUGGUCCAUUGUCAGUUAUUGUGUGUUUAUGUAAUGUUGUCAAGUCAAGUCCAGUCCAGUCUAGUCCAAUCCACGUUUAUGUUUUUUGGAUUUCACGUUUGUAAUAAACUGCACUUGGGUUCUUCACAUCAUCUCGUCUUCAUUUGCCUGUCAUUGCCAGCAUCGUUACAGAAACGAUACAGAAUACCUGACAGACGCAAUAUGAACCCAGCAAUCCAGCUUCUUCGACUUCACCAGGGGAAUCGUCCCCUGGAGGAUUAUGUGGAGGACUUUUGCGCUCUGGCAUGCCGGGUGGACUUUAAUGAGGUUGCCCUCAAAUACAUUUUCCGUUUUGGAUUAAAUGAGCCAAUCUCUUCACUGAUGCCAGGGGGUCAGAGUACCCACAGCCUGGCUCAAUAUAUCGACCUCGCCCUGCAGAUUACUGGUUCCACGUUCACUGUGGGGGAGGUGGAUGCCGAGCCAGAGUUCCACGUCCUGGCCGCCGAGCUAGCGCCAUCUUUUGCCCCGGAUCCUCAGCCUGCUUCAUGCCACGGCACAACAACGCCUCAGCUUGCUCCAUGCCACGUCACAGCCACGCCUGAGCCUGCUCCAUGCCACGUCACAACCACGCCUGAGCCUGCUCCAUGCCACGUCACAGCCACGCCUGAGCCUGCUCCAUGCCACGUCACAGCCACGCCUGAGCCUGCUCCAUGCCACGUCACAGCCACGCCUGAGCCUGCUCCAUGCCACGUCACAGCCACGCCUGAGCCUGCUCCAUGCCACGUCACAGCCACGCCUGAGCCUGCUCCAUGCCACGUCACAGCCACGCCUGAGCCUGCUCCAUACCACGUCACAUCCACGCCUGAGCCUGCUCCAUGCCACGUCACAUCCACGCCUGAGCCUGCUCCACGCCAUGUCAUAACAACAUCUGAGCUAUUGGACCUGGAGAUGGUUCCCGCCCUUGUACCCACCCUUAGUUCUCCUGAUCAGGCAAGUGGAACUUUCGACCCUCCAAGCCCUGGACUCCGCCUUGGCCUGUCGAUCCCUUGACACCACAUCGGCUCUACGUUCCCUCGGCUCCACUGCGGUCCUUCAGCCUGUCGGCUUUACCGGGGUCCCUCGUCCCUCCAGCUCCACCUUGGUCAGUCAGUCACUUGGCUCCCCUUGAGCUCUCCUAUCCCACAGCUACGCUUCAUCACUCCGAGCCUGCGGCUCCACCGGGGACCUCCUUCCCUACGGCUCCACCUUGGUCCUCAGUCCCACUGGCUUCGCCUCAGUCUUCCGAUCCCCCAGCUCCGCCUUGCUCCUCCGAGCCUCUGGCGCCACCUUGGUCCUCCCUGCCCUUAGUGGGGGGGAUAUGUCAUGUGUAUUUUGUUGGUUCAUGUUUUUCAUGUCUUUUGUUUUGAAAUUCUAGUUCCUGUUUCAUGUCAUGUGGUUCCCUUGUCAUGUGAUUUCAUGUUUCCCUCCAUGUUCUUGUGUCUUGUUUUUCAUUGGUUGAUUGUCUUAUCUUGUUUAGAGUUCUUUGUGUUUAUUGGUUAUCUUUGUCAUGUGUUCUCCCAUGUCAUGUAUUUAACCCUCAUGUUUUCCAUGGUCCAUUUUCAGGUAUUGUGUGUUUAUGUAACGUUGUUUAGCUAAAUCCAGUCCAUGUUUAUGUUUUUUGGAUUUCACGUUUGUAAUAAACUGCACUUGGGUCCUGCGCAUCAUCUCGUCUUUGUCUGCCUGUCACUGCCAGCAUCGUUACACCCUUCUAUUGUAAGUCCCUUAUUGUAACUGCAAUUUUCGCUUUAAAACGAGGGACGAGUCAAAAUUAUGCCACAAAUACUGUUGAUUAAAUAUUAACUUAUACAACUUAUUGUAAAGUGUUAAUGAAAUGUUCAAAACAAUGUGGUCUAGGCUGGCCCCUGUCUAUAUGCUAAUAACUGGCGCUCAUGAAAAUGUUAACUGCUAAUUAAUAUUCUUCUCUUGUCCUUAGAUCUAUUCAUUGAGCGGUUCUGCAUGACAGGAGGUAGCAGUCCCAUUGGGUACCUGAAAGCAUGGCAAACAAACCUGUAUCUGUCUGCUGAUGCUGAAAAGGUUCAGGAAGCUCUUGCUGAAGGAAUUGCAGCAGCCACCAUGUUUAUG